rnacentral:tRNA from 1 species
AGGCCCGUAGCUCUAACGGCCAGAGUACCGGAUUCCAAAUCCGGGGGUUGCAGGUUCGAAUCCUGCCGGGCCUGCCA